rnacentral:rRNA from 1 species
GACAGAGGAUGCAAGCGUUAUCCGGAAUUAUUGGGCGUAAAGAGCUCGUAGGCGGUCUGUUGCGUCGGUUGUGAAAACCUGGGGCUCAACUCCAGGCCUGCAAUCGAUACGGGCAGACUAGAGUUCGGUAGGGGAGACUGGAAUUCCUGGUGUAGCGGUGAAAUGCGCAGAUAUCAGGAGGAACACCGGUGGCGAAGGCGGGUCUCUGGGCCGAAACUGACGCUGAGGAGCGAAAGCGUGGGGAGCGAACAGG